rnacentral:rRNA from 1 species
CCUACGGGAGGCAGCAGUGAGGAAUAUUGGUCAAUGGGCGCGAGCCUGAACCAGCCAAGUCGCGUGAGGGAUGACGGCCCUACGGGUUGUAAACCUCUUUUACCGAGGAGCAACGGGCGCCACGUGUGGCGCCACUGAGAGUACCCGGAGAAAACGCAUCGGCUAACUCCGUGCAAGCAGCCGCGGUAAUACGGAGGAUGCAAUCGUUAUCCGGAUUUAUUGGGUUUAAGGGGUGCGAAGGCGGAUCGUUAAUUCGGUGGUAAAAUUGAGGGGCUCAACCCCUUCUCGCCAUUGAUACUGGCGCUCUUGAGUGGAAGAGAAGUAUGCGGAAUGCGUGGUGUAGCGGUGAAAUGCAUAGAUAUCACGCAGAACCCCGAUUGCGAAGGCAGCAUGCCGGAUUCCGACUGACGCUGAAGCACGAAAGUGUGGGGAUCGAACAGGAUUAGAUACCCUAGUAGUC